CCCCCAAAAUCCACGCCAUUUCCUUCCAUCGGACUCCCCGAGGCCCGCCCGGCAGCCGCGUCGCGCCGCCUCGCCGCACCAACGCCAUCGCCGACGCCGACGCCGACCGAACCGCAGGAUGGGGCGGAAGCGCGCGGUGCUGGUGGGCAUCAACUACGCGGGCACCAAGGCGGAGCUCAAGGGCUGCCACAACGACGUGGCCCGCAUGCGCCGCUGCCUCGUCGACCGCUUCGGCUUCGACGACGCCGCCGUUCGCGUCCUCUCCGACGCCGACCCGGCCGCGCCGCAGCCCACGGGCGCCAACAUCCGCCGCGAGCUCGCGCGCCUCGUCGCCGACGCGCGCCCCGGGGACUCCCUCUUCUUCCACUACAGCGGCCACGGCACGCGCCUGCCGGCCGAGACCGGCCAGGACGACGACACCGGCUACGACGAGUGCAUCGUCCCCUCCGACAUGAACCUCAUCACAGACCAAGACUUCACAGAACUCGUGCAAAAAGUUCCUGAUGGCUGCCUGUUCACCAUAGUCUCCGACUCCUGCCACAGCGGUGGCCUACUUGACAAAGCCAAGGAGCAGAUUGGCCACAGCACAAAGCAGAACCAGGCACAGAAAGGCAAACGGGAAGAGCGGUCUGAUUCCGGCUCUGGCGGCUUCCGGUCGUUCCUCAAACAGACCGUCCGCGAAGCGUUCGAGUCCCAAGGAGUUCACCUCCCUCGCCGUGGCGGCCAGCAGGGAAGCUACGAUGACGAUGAAGCCGAGGAGCCAAACCUGGACUCGGCAGAAGGACACGCCAAGAACCGGUCGCUGCCCCUCUCGACAUUCAUCGAGAUGCUCAAGGAGAAGACAGGGAAGGAUGACAUCGAGGUCGGCUCGAUCCGGAUGACGUUGUUCAACAUUUUCGGCGACGACGCCAGCCCCAAGAUCAAGAAGUUCAUGAAGGUGAUGCUGGACAAGCUCCAGCAGGGCCAGCACGGGGGCGUGGUGGGCUUCGUGGGCGCCCUGGCACAGGAGUUGCUCAAGGCCAAGCUGCAGGGCAAGCAAGAGGAUCUGAAGCCGGCGAUGGAGCAGGAGGUGAACAGCGUCGAGGAGGUCUACGCCGGAACGACGGCUAGGGUGCCCCACAACGGCGUUCUGAUCAGCGGGUGCCAGACCGACCAGACCUCAGCGGACGCGACCACGCCCAAGGGCCUGUCCUACGGCGCGCUCAGCAACGCCAUCCAGUCCAUCCUCGCGGAGAAGGACAGGAAGGUGACGAACAAGGAGCUCGUGCUCAGAGCGCGCGAGAUGCUGUCCAAGCAGGGGUACAAGCAGCAGCCUGGACUCUACUGCAGCGAUAAGCACACUGAAGCCUGGAUGCCAUGUGUUGCUAAGAUUGGACUGUUUUGACGUUUUCAUCACAGAAUAACAAUCGCAUGCUCUGAGACCAGGACUUCACGGAGCUCGUGCGGAAAGUACCUGACGGCUGCCUCUUCACCAUGGAGCAGACGGGGAAGGACGACGUCGGCGUGGGCUCCAUCCGGACGACGCUGUUCCACCACUUCGGCAACGACGCCACGCCCAAGAUCAAGAAGUUCGUCAAGGCCAUGGUGGGCGGCAAGCUCCGGCACGGCCCUGAUCAGGCCGGCACAGUCGCAUCCACGGGCACGGAGCUGAUCCCGGAGGCUAAGACGAAGGGCAUCGAGGCCGACGCGCUCGGGCCAGCCAUGGAGCAGGAGGUGCGGAGCGUCGAGGAGGUGUACGCAGGAGCCGUGGCGGAGGUGCCUCCGCCGCGCAACGGCGUCCUGAUCAGCGGGUGCCAGACCGACGAGUCCUCGGCGGACUUGACCACGGCCAGCGGCGUGUCCUACGGCGCGCUCAGCAACGCCAUCCAGGCCGUCCUCGCGGAGGAGAAGCGCGGGAAGGUGACCAACAGGGAGCUCGUGCAGAGAGCGCGCGGGCUGCUGUCCAAGCAGGGGUACGUCCAGCAGCCUGGCCUCUACUGCAGUGAUGAGCAUGCUGAUGCCGCCUUCAUAUGCUGAUUGGCGAAGCAUCACAUUCAAAUGAGUUAAUUGCAUGAACAUACCAUAUUUGUGCACCGUGUAAUGAAUCAGUACCACCAUCUCUGCAUGUCGCAUUUCAGUACCACCAUUUUUCUUAA